AACGAACGCUGGCGGCGUGGAUUAGGCAUGCAAGUCGAACGUGAUCCGGAGCUAUAGCAAUAUAAUUCCGGUGAAAGUGGCGAAAGGGUGAGUAACACGCGGGCAAUUUGCCCUCAAGUUGGGGAUAGCUCUGCGAAAGCGGAAUUAAUACCGAAUGUGGUCGCCCCGGGCAUCCGGGGCUAUCCAAAGCCGGGGAUCCGUAAGGACCUGGCGCUUGAGGAUGAGCCCACGUACUAUCAGCUAGUUGGUGAGGUAACGGCCCACCAAGGCUAUGACGGUUAGCUGGUCUGAGAGGAUGGUCAGCCACACUGGGACUGAGACACUGCCCAGACUCCUACGGGUGGCAG
rnacentral:rRNA from 1 species